rnacentral:rRNA from 1 species
AUGUGAUAAGUAAUGUGAAUUGCAGAAUUCAGUGAAUCAUCGAAUCUUUGAACGCACCUUGCACCCUUUGGCAUUCCGAAGGGUAUGCUCGUUUGAGUGUCAUUGGACUCUCGCGCUCUCCGAUUUAGAUUGGGAGUGGUGGACUUGGGUGUUGCCUCUUCAGUGAGGCUCACCUCAAAUAUGUUAGUGCAACUCUUGGUUGGACAUAAAACGGCGUGAUAAGUGUCUUUGCCUUGCCUCAUAAGAGGGUGGCUGAUCAGGAGCUCUGUGCUUCGAAUUGUCUUUGGACAAUCUCUGACAACUUGACCUCAAAUCGAGUAGGAUUACCCGCUGAACUUAA